rnacentral:tRNA from 1 species
GUGGUCUAGGGGUUUAUGACGUCGCCCUUACAAGGCGAAGAUCGAGGGUUCAAUUCCCUCC